GUUGUAUGGUUAAGUGACUAAGCGUACACGGUGGAUGCCUUGGCAGUCAGAGGCGAUGAAAGGCGUAUUAACUUGCGAUAAGCUCAGAUUAGGUAGUAAAAACCUGUGAGUCUGAGAUUCCUGAAUGGGGAAACCCAACUGCAUAAGCAGUUAUCGCUGAGUGAAUACAUAGCUCAGCGAGGCGAACCGGGGGAACUGAAACAUCUAAGUACCCCGAGGAAGAGAAAUCAACCGAGAUUCCGAAAGUAGCGGCGAGCGAAAUUGGAUUAGCCCUUAAGCUUUUAAUG
rnacentral:rRNA from 1 species